CAAGGAUAAAAACACGUCCCGGUAGGUAGUCCGGGAGCAGCGGCAACGCUGUCAGUAACCUGCCUCCUUGGUUGUCCGUUCCUUGCG
rnacentral:ncRNA from 1 species